rnacentral:lncRNA from 1 species
ACUAACUGCGUGCGAAAAUGAAGGAAAAUAAAUGGAUUAGGGAAAAAUCAAGAAGAAGAAAAAGAAGAGAAAGAUGGAAAAACUUGGAGAAUUUCAGCAAGAGGAGAGGGAGAAGAAUAGACGAGAAAUUUUUUUGUUUGGAAAAGAAAGUCAAAAUUCAGUUUUGGGAAAAAAAUAAAAUAAAAUCCCGAUAACCCCUAAAAUCCCUUAAUCUUCUCCCCUAAUUCCCACUAUACAUCCACUACUCAAAAUCCCCCAAUUACACAAUUCUAUCCCAAAAUCUAAGCAAAAAAACAAGACCUCCACCAUAAUAACACACCAUUUAAGUACCAGACCAGCAGGCCCAUUCUGAUGUAAUUUAC